rnacentral:lncRNA from 1 species
UCAAGAAAUUUGCAAAACAAUAAUAAUUGCAAGGUAGUUAUACAAGUGGAUAAAAAAUAAAUAAGUAAAUAAAAGAAUUACAAGUAAUUGUCAAAUUUCAUCUAAAAACAAGAAAAUUAUUGAAUUUCACAAACUUUAUCAGGUGGGGACUUGGAUAAUUCAUCCAUGUAAGCUUUACGUUCCUCAGGAGAUGAGGGCAACAAUUUUGGGACAUUUAGUACGAUAUCCACACAGAGGUUUCCAAGAGUGGCCACAUCAAAUUCUUUGUUAACAACACUUUU